UACGUAGGGGCAAGCGUUGUCCGGAUUUACUGGGCGUAAAGGGCGCGUAGGCGGCCUUCUAAGUCGAACGUGAAAUCCCCGGGCUCAACCCGGGAACUGCGUCCGAUACUGGAAGGCUUGAAUCCGGGAGAGGGAUGCGGAAUUCCAGGUGUAGCGGUGGAAAUGCGCAGAUAUCAGGAGGAACACCGGUGGCGAAGGCGGGUCUCUGGGCAGUAACUGACGCUGAGGAGCGAAAGCGUGGGGAGCGAACAGG
rnacentral:rRNA from 1 species